UACAGAACAUUAGAAAAGAUUGGCCAUUUGGACGCCAUAGCCAUGCCAAGCGACAAGUUGUUGGCGCCAGAAAGAUUGGGGUCAUUCACAAGUUUCAACGAAUGUUCUUCAUUCUGUAAUAUUUGUUUGAAUCUAAAACCAAAAUUUAGAUAUUAAUUUAUCAUUCGAAAUCUACAACUAGACGCCAAAUCCUAAGCACAAUACGAAUACCCACUAAUCUGAUCGACAGUGUUGUGGGCUUCAAUCCGUGAAGAGGGUUGAGAGAUGGGAACUUUGGGAGCGGUUUUAAGGCACCCAGAUGAUUUUUACCCCCUGUUGAAUCUGAAAAUGGCGGUGCACAAUGCUGCCAAGCAGAUCCCACCUGAGCCUCACUGGGCUUUUUGUUAUACUAUGCUUCAGAAAGUCUCUCGUAGUUUUGCUCUCGUAAUUCAGCAGCUUGAUACCGACCUCAGAAACGCUCAUUUGUGGAUAUGCAGGUAUGCAUAUUUUAUUUGGUUCUUCGUGCUCUUGACACUGUUGAGGAUGAUACAAGCAUCCCAACAGAGGUCAAGGUGCCUAUUCUCUUGGCUUUUCAUAGUCAUGUGUAUGAUUGUGACUGGCAUUUUUCAUGCGGUACAAAGCAUUACAAAGUUCUCAUGGACCAGUUUCAUCAUGUUUCAACUGCUUUUCUUGAGCUUGGAAGGGAUUAUCAGAAACCAAUUGAGGAUAUUACCCAAAAAAUGGGUGCAGGAAUGGCAAAAUUUAUUUGCAAGGAGGUUCGUGAAUCAUAUUGAAACAAUUGAUGACUAUGAUGAAUAUUGCCACUAUGUCGCUGGACUUGUUGGAUUAGGCUUAUCUAAGCUUUUCCAUGCCUCUGGGAAGGAAGAUAUGGUGCCGGAUGAUCUUUCGAAUUCAAUGGGUUUAUUUCUGCAGAAAGCAAAUAUCAUUCGAGAUUACCUGGAGGAUAUUAAUGAGAUACCAAAGUCGCGGAUGUUUUGGCCUUGUGAGAUCUGGAAUAAAUACGUUAAUAAACUAGAGGACUUAAAGUACGAGGAAAAUUUGGUCAAGGCAGUGGAAUGCUUGAAUGACAUGGUUACCAAUGCUUUGACACAUGUGCAAGAUUGUUUCAAGUACAUGUCUGUAUUACGAAAUCCUGCUAUAUUCCGAUUCUGUGCUAUACCUCAGGUUAUGGCAAUCGGAACAUUAGCAUUAUGCUACAACAACAUUGAAGUCUUCAGAGGUGUAGUGAAAAUGAGACGUGGUCUCACUGCUAAAGUCAUUGACCGAACAAAUAAAAUGUCUGACGUUUAUGGUGCCUUCUAUGAUUUCUCUUGUAUACUGAAGUCCAAGAUCAAGAAGAAUGAUCCCAAUGCAACAAAAACCUUGAGCCAGAUUAAUGCUAUACAGAAAAUAUGCAUAGAUUCUGGGGUCCUAGGCAGAAGGAAAUCUUACAUAAUCCAAAAUGGGCCAAAAUACAAUUCAACCAUGAUUGUCCUACUUUUCGUUAUACUAGCCAUCAUUUUCUCAUAUCUCUCUGCCAACCGAGCAACAAAUUAGUGUUAAGUUCAGCUACAGGAAUACACUUAAACAAAUUCUCUCAGGAAUUAAAUCUAAUUACUCCUUCCCAUUCGGCAUUCGGCAUUCACAUGAACUUAUUUCUGUGUCCAUGGAAGAAGCAUAUGGGUUAUCGAGGCUCUAAAAUUGUUGCAUCCAAAUAAGAACAAGGCUACAAUGCUAAUCUCUUUCGUGUAGAGCAUAAUCAAUACUGUUUGCCCUUAAAUAUCUUCAGAGCAAAACACAAUUCAGGCUCAGAAAAUUUCAGGCUAGGAAUUGUUUUACUGGAACCAAACAAUUUUUGAUGUUUUCAGUGUUAUGAAGAUGCCUCCCUGAAACUGUGAAGGAUGCAGAUGAAGUGUUCUAUCAAUAUCAAAAGUUCUAUAAAUAAUUAGAAGUGUCUGUUAUUUGACUUGAAUAACUCGCAAAAAUGUAGAUAAUGGACUUUUUUCUUAUUUGAAUUUAUAUAUUCUUGUAAGACCAUUUAAUUUGAAUUUAAAAUGUGCUCUGAAAACUGUUAUAAUUA